CGCACAUUGCGCCCCUUGGUAUUCCGAGGGGCAUGCCUGUUCGAGCGUCAUUACAACCCUCAAGCUUAGCUUGGUAUUGGGCUCCGCCGUUUAUCUGGCGGGCCUUAAAAUCAGUGACGGUGUCGUCGAGGCCCUGAGCGUAGUAAAUAUCCUCGCUAUAGGACCCGGCGGUUACUGGCCAUCAACACCAAUCUUUCUAGUUUGACCUCGGAUCAGGUAGGGAUACCCGCUGAACUUAA
rnacentral:misc_RNA from 1 species